rnacentral:rRNA from 1 species
UACGAAGGGGGCUAGCGUUGUCCGGAAUUAUUGGGCGUAAAGGGCUCGUAGGCGGUUUGUCGCGUCGGGAGUGAAAACACGGGGCUUAACCCCGUGCCUGCUUCCGAUACGGGCAGACUAGAGGUAUGCAGGGGAGAACGGAAUUCCUGGUGUAGCGGUGAAAUGCGCAGAUAUCAGGAGGAACACCGGUGGCGAAGGCGGUUCUCUGGGCAUUACCUGACGCUGAGGUGCGAAAGCGUGGGGAGCAAACAGG